rnacentral:lncRNA from 1 species
GGCCGAGAACGAUGUCCUUUCUCGUGCCUAAUGCCUAAGCGGGAGCGCCCCUCUGUCUGCUACUUUACACUACUCCUUGAACUGGACUUGAGGCUCUCCUCGAAACUAUUCCGAAGUUUUGAAUUCCAUUUCUAUGGAUAGGUUCUAAGCAUAUGAGAGAAAGGCGGAUGAAAGGCAGUGACCCUAAGUUCCGAAUCUUGCCCUGAAUAAGUAAGGUUUCGGGGAAGUUAGAAGCCUUUCGGGCUGAAUAGGGGCGGGGAGAGGGUGUAGUGUAGUAAAGGAGGUGGGCUUAGAGCCAGCAAGCAAAGUAAGGCAAAGCUUUAUCGCGAAGAAGGCAGAUGAAUGAAUUGGUUCCAGGGUAUGCCUUCCGAGGUAUGCCGGGCAAUAAGGGCAAGGAAGGCUGCGGGAAGAGUUUCAGGACUAGGCCAGAGGACUCCUGUCCAUAAGGCUAGGAAGGCAGGAGCAAAAAGAUUGAACUAGCCCACGCA